AUGCGCNCCUACCAUGCAAGUCGAACGGUAACAGGCUGUAUGGAAUCCCUUCGGGGUGAACUUGGCGCUGACGAGUGGCGAACGGGUGAGUAACACGUAGGAAUCUACCCAGGAGUGGGGGACAACCCGGAGAAAUCCGGGCUAAUACCGCAUACGCCCUACGGGGCAAAGUGGGGGACCUCUUCGGAGGCCUCACGCUUUUGGAUGAGCCUGCGUCGGAUUAGCUUGUUGGUGAGGUAACGGCUCACCAAGGCGACGAUCCGUAGCUGGUCUGAGAGGAUGACCAGUCACACUGGGACUGAGACACGGCCCAGACUCCUACGGGAGGCAGCAGUGGGGAAUAUUGGACAAUGGGGGCAACCCUGAUCCAGCCAUGCCGCGUGUGUGAAGAAGGCCCUAGGGUUGUAAAGCACUUUCAGUGGGGAAGAAAAGCCUAAGGAUAAUACCCUCGGGUCUUGACGGUACCUACAGAAGAAGCACCGGCUAAUUCCGUGCCAGCAGCCGCGGUAAUACGGAAGGUGCAAGCGUUAUCCGGAAUUAUUGGGCGUAAAGCGUCCGCAGGCGGUCUGUCAAGUCUGCUGUUAAAGCGUGGAGCUUAACUCCAUUUCGGCAGUGGAAACUGACAGACUAGAGUGUGGUAGGGGCAGAGGGAAUUCCCGGUGUAGCGGUGAAAUGCGUAGAUAUCGGGAAGAACACCAGUGGCGAAGGCGCUCUGCUGGGCCAUAACUGACGCUCAUGGACGAAAGCCAGGGGAGCGAAAGGGAUUAGAUACCCCUGUAGUCCUGGCCGUAAACGAUGAACACUAGGUGUCGGGGGAAUCGACCCCCUCGGUGUCGUANCCAACGCGUUA
rnacentral:rRNA from 1 species